rnacentral:rRNA from 1 species
UACAGAGGGUGCAAGCGUUAUUCGGAUUUACUGGGCGUAAAGCGCAUGUAGGCGGUUUUGUAAGUCCGGUGUGAAAGCCCUCGACUCAAUCGGGGAAGUGCACUGGAUACUGCUAAACUAGAGUAUGGGAGAGGAGAGUGGAAUUCCUGGUGUAGAGGUGAAAUUCGUAGAUAUCAGGAGGAACAACAGAGGCGAAGGCGGCUCUCUGGACCAUCACUGACGCUGAGAUGCGAAAGCGUGGGGAGCAAACAGG